CGCCCAUUAGCUAGCCGCCUCCCCCAAAAACAACAAAACCCUAUCAAUACCCCCUAAUACACUCAAAACACUUUAAACAAACCAUUUUUCCCCCCAAGUACGGGCGACAGAAAAGGAACUACCGCGCUAUAGAGAAAGUACCGCAAGGGAACGCUGAAAGAGAAAUGAAACAACCCAGUAAAGCCUAAAAAAGCAGAGCUUAAAACUCGUACCUUUUGCAUCAUGAUUUAGCUAGAAAAUCUCAAGCAAAGAGCACUUUAGUUUGAUUCCCCGAAACUACGUGAGCUACUCCAAGACAGCCUAACAAUAAGGGCCAACCCGUCUCUGUGGCAAAAGAGUGGGAAGAGCUUCGAGUAGAGGUGACAGACCUACCGAACCUAGUUAUAGCUGGUUGCCUGAGAAAUGAAUAGAAGUUCAGCCUCUCGGAUUCUUCCCUCACCACUGUUCUCCUCCCCCUUGACAGCCAAAAGAAGCCGAAAGAGUUAGUCAAAGGGGGUACAGCUCCUUUGACACAAGAUACAACUUUUCCAGAAGGGUAAAGAUCAUAUAUAAACAUUAAGGUAUAAUGUUUUGGUGGGCCUAAAAGCAGCCAUCCUUAUAGAAUGCGUUAAAGCUCAAACAUAUUCACCACCCCCGAUCCUGACAAUUUUAUCUCAACCCCCUAAGCCUACCAGGCCAUCCCAUGCAAACAUGGAAGUGACCAUGCUAAUAUGAGUAAUAAGAGAGCACUAAUCUCUCUCCUUGCACAAGUGUAACUCGGAACGGACCUCCCACCGAACUUUAACGACCCCAAACAAAGAGGGCCCUGAACAACAGACCCGCCAACAAGAAAAACAUUCAACAGACUAAUCGUUAAACCCACACUGGUGUGCCCCUAAGGAAAGACUAAAAGAAAAAGAAGGAACUCGGCAAACACAUGAAGCCUCGCCUGUUUACCAAAAACAUCGCCUCUUGCAAAAUUAACGAAUAAGAGGUCCUGCCUGCCCUGUGACCAUGUGUUCAACGGCCGCGGUAUUUUGACCGUGCAAAGGUAGCGUAAUCACUUGUCUUUUAAAUGAAGACCCGUAUGAAUGGCAAGACGAGGGCUUAGCUGUCUCCUUUUUCAAGUCAAUGAAAUUGAUCUUCCCGUGCAGAAGCGGGAAUUACUUCAUAAGACGAGAAGACCCUAUGGAGCUUUAGACACCAAGACAGCCCACGUCAAAACUCCCUAAUGAAGGACUGAACUAAGUGGACCCUGUCCUAAUGUCUUUGGUUGGGGCGACCACGGGGAAAUACAAAACCCCCGCGUGGACUGGGAGCACCUCUACUCCUACAACUAAGAGCACCCGCUCUAACAAACAGAAUUUCUGACCAACAAGAUCCGGCAACGCCGAUCAACGAACCCAGUUACCCUAGGGAUAACAGCGCAAUCCUCUUUUAGAGCCCAUAUCGACAAGAGGGUUUACGACCUCGAUGUUGGAUCAGGACAUCCUAAUGGUGCAGCCGCUAUUAAGGGUUCGUUUGUUCAACGAUUAAAGUCCUACGUGAUCUGAGUUCAGACCGGAGUAAUCCAGGUCAGUUUCUAUCUAUGCUAUGAUCUUUUCUAGUACGAAAGGACCGAAAAGAAGGGGCCCAUGCUACAAGUACGCCCCAUCCUCACCUAAUGAAAUCAACUAAAAUAGACAAGAGGACAUACCCCGCCGCCUAAGAAAACGGCAU
rnacentral:rRNA from 1 species